UUUUUGUGUAAAAUAAAAUUGUAUAUAAAGAGCCUGAUGUCAAAAUUGAAUCAUAGUUUAAUUUAAUCAGCUCUAAACAACUCAACUAUCAAACAUGUUCAAAUCUUUGUUGGUUCUUGCCAUUUUGGCAAUUGCUUUUGUAGCAGCUAAACCAAAUCCAUCUCCCAUCGUAUACUCCGCUGCCUAUCCCUAUGCCUAUUCUGCCCCAUAUGCUGGAUACUCUUUUGGAGCUUUACCAUACCUAGCCCAAGGUGCUGGAUUAUUUGAAUAUUAUUAGAUUACCAAAAACGAUAAUAAAAAUAAUAUUUAGCA